GUUUGGACGCAGCUUCUGAGGAAGAGAGAGACAGAGCCUGAGAUGGGGACGCCUGUGGUUCCCGCCGCGGCCGUCUGCGUGGGACGGACCCGAGGACCAGGCUUAGGGGGAUCCCCAGGAAAGCCCCCCGGGAGGGUCAGUGGUUGCUCACGGCUGUUUGUGGAUUGGAGCCCCCAGGGGAUGGCAACGAGAGAAAUGAUUUCACGCCGACAGUAUAAGCAGCGGGGUUCAUCGCCGAAUGUCAGUGGGAUCAAUGGUCAGUUGGCUUUUUACGGGCGCUAGAGAAGGCCGCCCCUGCCCUCCUGCUUCAUCACGUCCACCGACUCAUGGGGACCUCCCAGGGAGCUGUGCACGUCACAGGUGUGCACUUUCUCUCACGGGAUAAAUCCUAUUUUCCGAAGGCUUUGGCACUGAGUAAAGCUUGAGAGAUUAACUUGUCUAGCACCUUCGUGUCACAGAUGAUGUUUCAGAUGCCCCGAGACUCUUGUCACAGCUGAUUGUGGCAGAGCAAGGAACAGACAGGUCGUUUGCUGGAAUCCAGAAGUGAGCCAGACAAGGAUGAAAUCCCGGGGCAGCUGAUUUCGGGCAAGGAGAGAGGUUGUAUUGCCGUUCGCGAAUCCUCAAAUAUCCAGGACAUUCUCUGACCCAGGGGAAUGGUGGUGGGAGUCAGAACUAAGAAAAUGUGUGACACAGAUAAUAUGUCUUCUCCCCCAGUUCCUAUUUUGGGUGCAUUUCUUCUUUUUGAGGGCCUGGUUGCUGGAUGUUCUUCUGGAGGAGGAACAUUUCUUGCAGGAUUUUACUUCUAAACGUGUAGAGAACGUAGUAUUCCUGCUCGUGUCUUCACAGUGCGAUGCUUACAGAGACGUUUUUCGAGCUUGCUGAUGGGAGAAAACCUUAUCCCAAGCCCUGCACGUUUGCCAUGGAGUUGAGGACGUCCUGCAUGGUCAAGUGGGUUCCAUCUGCGGGAGACAUUCUUAUCCAGGGACACCCAAAGAGCAAAAGAGACGAGAACUCACCAGAUUUUCCACGGACAGGAGCUGCAAAAUAAAUAAAUUAGCCAGAGAUGAACACAGAGCAAGGAUUCUUCGGUUUUUCAAAAGUCAUAGCUGUUGUUUUCUGUUCAUUUUAUUAUUUCUUUCAAUAGAAAUUCAUUAAAAAAACUUAA